rnacentral:tRNA from 2 species
GCGGCCGUGAUGGAAUGGCAGUCAUGCUGGGUUUAGGUCCCAGUGGGUUAACGCCCGUGUGGGUUCGAAUCCCACCGGCCGCA